rnacentral:rRNA from 1 species
AUUGAACGCUGGCGGCAGGCUUAACACAUGCAAGUCGAGCGGGGUGAUGGUGCUUGCACUAUCACUUAGCGGCGGACGGGUGAGUAAUGCUUAGGAAUCUGCCUAUUAGUGGGGGACAACAUCUCGAAAGGGAUGCUAAUACCGCAUACGUCCUACGGGAGAAAGCAGGGGAUCACUUGUGACCUUGCGCUAAUAGAUGAGCCUAAGUCGGUUUAGCCAGUUGGUGGGGUAAAGGCCGACCAAGGCGACGAUCUGUAGCGGGUCUGAGAGGAUGAUCCGCCACACUGGGACUGAGACACGGCCCAGACUCCUACGGGAGGCAGCAGUGGGGAAUAUUGGACAAUGGGGGGAACCCUGAUCCAGCCAUGCCGCGUGUGUGAAGAAGGCCUUAUGGUUGUAAAGCACUUUAAGCGAGGAGGAGGCUCUUUUGGUUAAUACCCAAGAUGAGUGGACGUUACUCGCAGAAUAAGCACCGGCUAACUCUGUGCCAGCAGCCGCCGUAA